rnacentral:misc_RNA from 1 species
GAACCGCGAUAAGUAAUGUGAAUUGCAGAAUUCAGUGAAUCAUCGAGUCUUUGAACGCACAUUGCGCCCCCUGGCAUUCCGGGGGGCAUGCCUGUCCGAGCGUCAUUGCUGCCCUUCAAGCCCGGCUUGUGUGUUGGGUCGUCGUCCCCUCCGGGGGACGGGCCCGAAAGGCAGCGGCGGCACCGCGUCCGGUCCUCGAGCGUAUGGGGCUUUGUCACCCGCUCGAUAAGGACCGGCCGGGCGCCAGCCGGCGUCUCCAACCUUUUUUUCUCAGGUUGACCUCGGAUCAGGUAGGGAUACCCGCUGAACUUAAGC